GACAGAGGGUGCAAACGUUGUUCGGAAUUACUGGGCGUAAAGCGCGUGUAGGCGGCUAAGUAAGUCGGGCGUGAAAUCCCACGGCUCAACCGUGGAAGUGCACUCGAAACUGCAUAGCUAGAGUCCUGGAGAGGAAGGUGGAAUGCUUGGUGUAGAGGUGAAAUUCGUAGAUAUCAAGCGGAACACCGGUGGCGAAGGCGGCCUUCUGGACAGUGACUGACGCUGAGACGCGAAAGCGUGGGGAGCAAACAGGGAUUAAGAAACCCCGGAUAGUACCAGUACCGAACGUCUACUCGA
rnacentral:rRNA from 1 species